rnacentral:sRNA from 1 species
AGUAGAGAGACAGAGUUGCACACUAUCUGGUGAUAUUCGGAAAGAGUUCUGAGAUAACAAUGACCUCUCCAUCCCUUCGGGCACCCAUGGAACGAGCAAAGACACAAAGAGGCAAGUUGCUUAUGUAAGUCACAGAACUGGGCGCACCCCCACAACCUUCCAGAUGCGUCUUGGUGACCUUGUUGGAGGACCGUUGUCACCUGUGAUCUCCCAGAUCCGGGUCCUGCAGUCUUUGAGCCCCCUACACCUUGGCCAUCCCAGCUCCACAAUGCCGUGAUUGGUUACUUUGGGUCCAGAGGAAUGGGUGUCAGCCAACAAAAUCAUCCUUCUGGAGCAAAAUGAUCCCAUCUUCCACCAAGUCUGAGGCCAUGUACUCCUCCAGGACAGUUGGGAUUCAAGAGUCAAAAUCCUGGCCUCAUUCGCUGUAUGGUGAAGCCGUUGACCAAGUCAGAAAUAAUGGCAUGAAAAGAUGGAUUUUCACAGUUGAUGGUACCAAAUUCUAGCACCUCCUGUGUAUUAUGGUCCACAGCCUUCAUCCCAACUCUUUGAAGAAGCUGGGCUCAUACAGGUCAUGUUAUAAGUGAAGAUGAUGCUCUCAGCCCUGUGACUUGGAGGCAGCGUCUCCCAAGAAGCAUAAUCUGCAAUUCCCCUGUCACAGCAUCAGGAGGCAGGGCCAAAUGUUUGCAACAGGAGAGCACUACUCCUGAAUGGACUAUUGAGAAGGCAAGCAUUGAAACAGGAGUUCCAUCUAGUGCUCUCAUCUGUCUGUCUGUCUGUCAUCUGAGUGCACAUGGACAUGUUCUCUUUUGUCCUUCUUCCUUCUGUGGUGGCAGCAAGAAGACAUUCAUCAAAGGGUCAAUUCCCUGAUUGUGGUCUUCAUAGCCCCCUAGAACAGUGGUUCUCAACCUU